rnacentral:rRNA from 1 species
ACCCGCUGAACUUAAGCAUAUCAAUAAGCGGAUGAAAAGAAACUAACAAGGAUUCCCCUAGUAACGGCGAGUGAAGCGGGAAGAGCUCAAAUUUGUAAUCUGGCACCUUCGGUGUCCGAGUUGUAAUCUCGAGAAGUGUUUUCCGCGCCGGACCGCAUACAAGUCUGUUGGAAUACAGCGUCAUAGUGGUGAGAAUCCCGUACCUAAUGCGGAUGCCCGGUGCUUUGUGAUACACUUUCGAAGAGUCGAGUUGUUUGGGAAUGCAGCUCAAAUUGGGUGGUAAAUUCCAUCUAAAGCUAAAUAUUGGCGAGAGACCGAUAGCGAACAAGUACCGUGAGGGAAAGAUGAAAAGCACUUUGGAAAGAGAGUUAACAGUACGUGAAAUUGUUGGAAGGGAAACGCUUGAAGUCAGACUUGCUAUUCGGAAUUCAGCCGCAAGGUGUACUUUUCGAUUUGCAGGCCAGCAUCAGUUUUUGGGGAUGGAAAAGGGCCGGAGGAAGGUAGCAAUUUAGGUUGUGUUAUAGCCUUCGGCUGGAUUCAUCUUUGGGGACUGAGGAACGCAGCGCGCUUUUUGCAAGGCUCUCGAGCUUUCCGCGCUUAGGAUGCUGGUGGAAUGGCUUUAAACGACCCGUCUUGAAACACGG